rnacentral:lncRNA from 1 species
GAUUUUUUAAUUACUGAAAUUGUUUUAUUAUUAUUUUAAAAUACUAGUCAUGUUGUUUUUCUCCUGUUUAACAGUAAUCUUAAAUUACAGACACAGACUGAAAUAUAUAAGAUAAUAAGAAAUGUUGGCUAUAUGUUUAAAUACCAUUGCAAUUCAGUCUGACCUCUUUCCUCUGGAGCGAAGUAAUGCACACGGCAUUUACAGUCUUUUAAAUGGUUAGCUGGGAAAUGCAAUAGCAAUUUGCAGGAGUAGUUUACUAAUGGGGAAAGUUCCUUUGAAAACCUGA